UGGGGAAUUUUCCGCAAUGGGCGAAAGCCUGACGGAGCAAUACCGCGUGAGGGAGGAAGGCUUUUGGGUUGUAAACCUCUUUUCUUAGGGAAGAAGAAAGUGACGGUACCUAAGGAAUCAGCAUCGGCUAACUCCGUGCCAGCAGCCGCGGUAAUACGGAGGAUGCAAGCGUUAUCCGGAAUUAUUGGGCGUAAAGCGUCCGCAGGUGGCACUUCAAGUCUGCUGUCAAAGACCAGAGCUCAACUCUGGGCAGGCGGUGGAAACUGGGGAGCUAGAGUACGGUAGGGGUAGAGGGAAUUCCCGGUGUAGCGGUGAAAUGCGUAGAUAUCGGGAAGAACACCAGUGGCGAAAGCGCUCUACUGGGCCGCAACUGACGCUCAGGGACGAAAGCUAGGGGAGCGAAAGGGAUUAGAUACCCCUGUAGUCC
rnacentral:rRNA from 1 species